CCCUGGGCCCCGCCUCUCUGGGCCCCGCCUCACUGGCCCCGCCUCUCUGGACUCCGCCUCACUGUGCCCCGCCUCACUGGACCCCGCCUCACUGGGCCGCGCCUCUCUGGACUCCGCCUCACUGGACCCCGUCUCUCUGGGCCCCGCCUCACUGGCCCCGCCUCUCUGGACUCCGCCUCACUGGGCCCCGCCUCACUGGACCCCGCCUCUCUGGACUCCACCUCACUGGGCCCCGCCUCUCUGGGCCCCGCCUCACUGGGCCCCGCCUCUCUGGGCCCAGCCUCUCUGGACUCCGCCUCACUGGGCCCCGCCUCUCUGGGCCCAGCCUCACUGGGCCCCGCCUCUCUGGACUCCACCUCACUGGGCCCCGUCUCUCUGGGCCCCGCCUCACUGGGCCCAGACCAUGCGGGAGCGGCCUCUCGAAGCUGACUGCGUCCAGUUGCUUUUCCAAUCACCGACUUGGCUUCUAUUUGAUCACCAGUGGGUCCAUCCUCCUUGCUGAGCCCCAGCUUCCUGAUCUGGGAUACAGGAGAUCACUGGUGUGCAACUCAUUGGUCACUGAGGACUCAGCCUAGAUGCAGACGUGCUUGGUGCCCCUGGGAGCAGCAAGGCCUCAGUCCCAGCACUCUCCCUCUGUCCUGAACUCCUGGAGCACCUACCACCUGGG
rnacentral:lncRNA from 1 species